UUGUUCCUGUCUACGGCGCCAUUUUGAGAAGCCAUGUUAUGACAAUUGACAUUUAUUUGAAUUUUUGAAACGAUACCUUCUACUAGUCAUAACUGUAAAUAAGUGCUAAAUUUGCCAUGGGACUAUCAAAGUGUUGUGUCGGUGGUUGCACCGCAACCAAUGCGACGAAUCGGCUUUUUUGUUUUCCGCAGAAAUCAGAAUGAUAAUUUCAGGAACCUGUGGAUGUCCUUUCUGGUGCCCACUAAUUCCUCCCUCAUCGGAUUGUCGAAAGAUCAACUUCGACACAAACGCGUUUGUGAGAAACACUUCGACAGAUAGCAGUUCGAUGAAGAAGGCAAGAGGCUUAGGCAUUCAUACCCAUGCCUAUUUACGGAUGACGAAAUAGCGCACGGCGUGCCCCUGUCUUCCAGUGAUGUACAAAAUGCUCUGAGUGAUCACAAUUAUCACAAAGUGGAAUCAGAUGAGAAUGAAAAUGUUACAGAUAAUAUUAUGUUGGUCAUUGGAAGGGCAGGUGAUGAUUAUCAUGAACAUCCAUCAUGCAUUACAGCUAUUCCAGUUGUUAUGAAAAGACCUACAGAUAACAUUCACACGGGCAGCAGUAGCAGUGUGGCUACUACAGCGGAAGUUGUGGAGUUCUUCGACGAUUUAUUCGAUAGCGUAAAUUGUUAUCCUGGAGGCGCAACAAAAGGGAAAAUGAGAAAAGCAGUAAAAAUAAACUCUUGCAAAUGCUGCUCUUGCAAAAAAAAUUGCAUGGGUGUCAGAAAACACACAAUAUGUGUUUAAAAAAAAUGUUUUUACAUAUAUUGUUAGGCUUCAUGUCCAUAACUGGAGCAAUAUUAUAAAUAAAAUUUUAAAGGGAGCUAUAGAGGAGAGAUAUGUGCAAAAAAUGGCAGGAAUCCAUAAAAUUGCUUUUAUGAAAUAUAAAACAAGUAAAUUAAGAAAAAGGGCAUUAAAUAAAUAAACAUUGAAAACGAAA